AAGAAGAGAAUGUCAGGUUAGCCAAGAAGACUGCCUGAUACCGACCAAUCAAAACGAUCGAUCUAAACAGACCAAACCCUUUGAAAAGAAGAGACAGGCAAGUCAUCCUUGGCUACCAAACAAACUCUCCUUG
rfam:Helianthus annuus linkage group 9, whole genome shotgun sequence.